AUUUAACGCUGGCGGCAGGCCUAACACAUGCAAGUCGAGCGGAUGAAGGGAGCUUGCUCCUGGAUUCAGCGGCGGACGGGUGAGUAAUGCCUAGGAAUCUGCCUGGUUGUGGGGGAUAACGUCCGGAAACGGGCGCUAAUACCGCAUACGUCCUGAGGGCGAACGUGGGGGAUCUUCGGACCUCCCGCUAUCAGAUGAGCCUAGGUCGGAUUAGCUAGUUGGUGGGGUAACGGCCUACCAAGGCGACGAUCCGUAACUGGUCUGAGAGGAUGAUCAGUCACACUGGAACUGAGACACGGUCCAGACUCCUACGGGAGGCAGCAGUGGGGAAUAUUGGACAAUGGGCGAAAGCCUGAUCCAGCCAUGCCGCGUGGGUGAAGAAGGUCUUCGGAUUGUAAAGCACUUUAAGUUGGGAGGAAGGGCAGUAAGUUAAUACCUUGCUGUUUUGACGUUACCAAAAGAAUAAGCACCGGCUAACUUCGUG
rnacentral:rRNA from 1 species